rnacentral:rRNA from 1 species
GAUGAACGCUGGCGGCGUGCCUAAUACAUGCAAGUCGAGCGAACGGACGAGAAGCUUGCUUCUCUGAUGUUAGCGGCGGACGGGUGAGUAACACGUGGAUAACCUACCUAUAAGACUGGGAUAACUUCGGGAAACCGUAGCUAAUACCGGAUAAUAUUUUGAACCGCAUGGUUCAAAAGUGAAAGACGGUCUUGCUGUCACUUAUAGAUGGAUCCGCGCUGCAUUAGCUAGUUGGUAAGGUAACGGCUUACCAAGGCAACGAUGCAUAGCCGACCUGAGAGGGUGAUCGGCCACACUGGAACUGAGACACGGUCCAGACUCCUACGGGAGGCUGCAGUAGGGAAUCUUCCGCAAUGGGCGAAAGCCUGACGGAGCAACGCCGCGUGAGUGAUGAAGGUCUUCGGAUCGUAAAACUCUGUUAUUAGGGAAGAACAUAUGUGUAAGUAACUGUGCACAUCUUGACGGUACCUAAUCAGAAAGCCACGGCUAACUACGUG